GGAGCAGACUGAUUUAUUGAUUUAUUUAUAAACUCUGUGAGAUAACCCAGCUCCGUCUCCCUGGUUUAAAAAAAAAGCACGGAGGGACGCAUGCGCCCAGCCUGUUUGUUUGGGAAUGAAAUGGUGUGAGUGAGAAGUAGGGAGCUGCAGUGGGAUCUUGCUGUGCGGAGGGAGGCCGGCGGCUCGCACUCGCACGGAGCCAGAGGGAGAGCUGGUCAGGGACUCCGCGCUGCCGAUCCAACUCAGUCCCGUCUCCAGGCUGACAGCAUGCGGCUGUGCUCCCUGAGUGCUCUCCUGCUGGCUACAGGUUGGGCAUGGUGCAACCAAACGGCUUCUGAUGUGAAUUCUACUCUAACAAUAGAAGCAGAGAAACAUUUAUGUGCAUCUGGAAGGCAAAUGAACUGCACAGCUUCUCUUACAGAAAGUCCCCCAACAGGACACUUCACCACAUGCCCAAAGGAGUUGAUGAGUUACUGUAUAGAAGGAGAAUGUCGGUUUAUACAGUCUGAAAAUAAGCCUUCGUGUGUGUGUAAAUUUGGCUACAUCGGCUCCCGAUGUGAAUUUCUGGAUAUGUUCUAUCUAACUGGAAGGCGGGACAAGUUUAUCGUUGUGGGGCUGGUUCUGGCCAUUCUGCUGCUCAUGACUGCAAUAAUAAUCACAUGUUUUUGUGUGCAGUUAGCCGGUUCCGCAGGAAGCACAAAGCUAGGAAAAACAGUCAUGAAGAAGCUGAAGUUCUGAGCUCCAAGCCUAUGGAUGGGAAGGGCUCGCGAGCUGAAGAUGAAGACACUGCAAUGACCACUCUAGCCUGAAACCGACUUGGGUAGGUUUGAGGUACCUGCAGGCAGGAUUUACCUUCAGAGACUCCUCAAAACAUGCCAGCUUCCUGCUGAAGCAGCAGGCUUUAAUCUGAAAGGACGGUGGAUUAAAUUUAGGAAAAAGAAUGAAAAUGUUACUCACUAUACUUUAACUAAAAUAACAAUCAUCGACAAUUUGUCCAAGACCGGCACAACUGCAUUGUGUUUUCGAAAUGGUGCCGAAAAGACACUGCAUCACAAACUGGGAAAUUUAGCAUGUAAGCUGGGCACACCCUGACGGGCUAACUCACAGUUCUAGAAUAUUCUUCAAACAGACUUGCAGUUUGAGACCCCUUUGCCAAGAGCACUUCAUCUGUUCUUACCUUGUGUACAAGUGUGGAAUCUACUCAAGAAAAAGUAAAGUAUAAUGUUACUUACAAGACAUGGCACGCAUGGGGAUACUGAAGUGUUUCCCUGCCUUUCAGCAAAGAGGAGAAAAUAGAUCAUACUGAGAAAGCAAAAUUUUACAGCCAUCACAAGUCUUUGGGUUUUAAUUUCAUUUAAGAAGAAACAUAUUUCUGAUCCAGGAUGAAAAUUGUGGAUUGUGAUGAACUUUGUUCCGAGAGCACACAAAGAUACACUGUUGCAAACAUAAGUCGAGGUAUCACUUUCCUUUCAUAAAAUGAAUCACUUUAUUUUGUUAAUGUUGUUAUUUAUGAAUGCUGCUUUAAAAAAAAUAGUGUUACUGAUGUAGAAGGUGUGACCAAGGGGAGGUUGGCUGGUUCAGUGUUCUGUGAUCACUGUAUCAAAGCUGAGCAAAAUACUAACACAGUGUAUGAGUAUAAAAGUGGUUGUACUUUCUUCCUUACUGUCUUUGCAGCAAUGAUUUGGCAUUCUGAAAAUGAAAUGGAUGUGUUAUUUGGGGAUGUUGCAUUAUUUGUUAUUUAAUAAAUGUACUCUUAUUGUCA